rnacentral:rRNA from 1 species
GAAGUCUGAUGCAGCAACCGCCGCGUGGAGGAUGACACGUUUCGGUGCGUAAACUCCUUUUAUAUAAGAAGAUAAUGACGGUUUAUAUGAAUAAGCACCGGCUAACUCCGUGCCAGCAGCCGCGGUAA